rnacentral:tRNA from 4 species
GCUGGCUUAGCUCAACUGGUAGAGCAACUGACUUGUAAUCAGUAGGUUGGGAGUUCGAUUCUUCUAGCCAGCACCA